GACGAACGCUGGCGGCGUGCCUAAUACAUGCAAGUCGAACGCAGUGGGGACGGGUGAGUAACACGUGGGUAACCUCCCAUCAGAGGGGAAAACACUUGGAAUCAGGUGCUAAACCGAUAUCGAUGGAUGAACCCGCGUUGCAUUAGCUAGGUGGUGAGGGAACGGCUCACCAAGGCCACGAUGCACAGGCGACCUGUGAGGGUGAUGGGCCACACUGGGACUGAGACACGGCCCAGACUCCUGCGGGAGGCAGCAGUAGGGAAUCUUCGGCAAUGGACGAAAGUCUGACCGAGCAACGCCGCGUGAGUGAAGAAGGUUUUCGGAUCGUAAAACACUGUUGUUAGAAAAGCGGUAUCUAACCAGAAAGCCACGGCUAACUACGUGCCAGCAGCCGCGGUAAUAC
rnacentral:rRNA from 1 species